rnacentral:rRNA from 1 species
GAUGAACGCUGGCGGCGUGCCUAAUACAUGCAAGUCGAGCGAACGGACGAGAAGCUUGCUUCUCUGAUGUUAGCGGCGGACGGGUGAGUAACACGUGGAUAACCUACCUAUAAGACUGGGAUAACUUCGGGAAACCGGAGCUAAUACCGGAUAAUAUUUUGAACCGCAUGGUUCAAAAGUGAAAGACGGUCUUGCUGUCACUUAUAGAUGGAUCCGCGCUGCAUUAGCUAGUUGGUAAGGUAACGGCUUACCAAGGCAACGAUGCAUAGCCGACCUGAGAGGGUGAUCGGCCACACUGGAACUGAGACACGGUCCAGACUCCUACGGGAGGCAGCAGUAGGGAAUCUUCCGCAAUGGGCGAAAGCCUGACGGAGCAACGCCGCGUGAGUGAUGAAGGUCUUCGGAUCGUAAAACUCUGUUAUUAGGGAAGAACAUAUGUGUAAGUAACUGUGCACAUCUUGACGGUACCUAAUCAGAAAGCCACGGCUAACUACGUGCCAGCAGCCGCGGUAAUACGUAGGUGGCAAGCGUUAUCCGGAAUUAUUGGGCGUAAAGCGCGAGUAGGCGGUUUUUUAAGUCUGAUGUGAAAGCCCACGGCUCAACCGUGGAGGGUCAUUGGAAACUGGAAAACUUGAGUGCAGAAGAGGAAAGUGGAAUUCCAUGUGUAGCGGUGAAAUGCGCAGAGAUAUGGAGGAACACCAGUGGCGAAGGCGACUUUCUGGUCUGUAACUGACGCUGAUGUGCGAAAGCGUGGGGAUCAAACAGGAUUAGAUACCCUGGUAGUCCACGCCGUAAACGAUGAGUGCUAAGUGUUAGGGGGUUUCCGCCCCUUAGUGCUGCAGCUAACGCAUUAAGCACUCCGCCUGGGGAGUACGACCGCAAGGUUGAAACUCAAAGGAAUUGACGGGGACCCGCACAAGCGGUGGAGCAUGUGGUUUAAUUCGAAGCAACGCGAAGAACCUUACCAAAUCUUGACAUCCUUUGACAACUCUAGAGAUAGAGCCUUCCCCUUCGGGGGACAAAGUGACAGGUGGUGCAUGGUUGUCGUCAGCUCGUGUCGUGAGAUGUUGGGUUAAGUCCCGCAACGAGCGCAACCCUUAAGCUUAGUUGCCAUCAUUAAGUUGGGCACUCUAAGUUGACUGCCGGUGACAAACCGGAGGAAGGUGGGGAUGACGUCAAAUCAUCAUGCCCCUUAUGAUUUGGGCUACACACGUGCUACAAUGGACAAUACAAAGGGCAGCGAAACCGCGAGGUCAAGCAAAUCCCAUAAAGUUGUUCUCAGUUCGGAUUGUAGUCUGCAACUCGACUACAUGAAGCUGGAAUCGCUAGUAAUCGUAGAUCAGCAUGCUACGGUGAAUACGUUCCCGGGUCU